AUUGAACGCUGGCGGCAUGCUUUACACAUGCAAGUCGAACGGUAACAGGCCGCGAGGUGCUGACGAGUGGCGAACGGGUGAGUAAUGCAUCGGAACGUGCCCAGUCGUGGGGGAUAACGCAGCGAAAGCUGUGCUAAUACCGCAUACGAUCUAUGGAUGAAAGCGGGGGACCGUAAGGCCUCGCGCGAUUGGAGCGGCCGAUGUCAGAUUAGGUAGUUGGUGGGGUAAAGGCUCACCAAGCCAACGAUCUGUAGCUGGUCUGAGAGGACGACCAGCCACACUGGGACUGAGACACGGCCCAGACUCCUACGGGAGGCAGCAGUGGGGAAUUUUGGACAAUGGGCGCAAGCCUGAUCCAGCAAUGCCGCGUGCAGGAGGAAGGCCUUCGGGUUGUAAACUGCUUUUGUACGGAACGAAACGGUCUGGGUUAAUACCCUGGGCUAAUGACGGUACCGUAAGAAUAAGCACCGGCUAACUACGUGCCAGCAGCCGCGGAAACAC
rnacentral:rRNA from 1 species